GACGAACGCUGGCGGCGUGCUUAACACAUGCAAGUCGAACGGUAAGGCCUUCGGGUACACGAGUGGCGAACGGGUGAGUAACACGUGGGUGAUCUGCCCCCUACUCUGGGAUAAGCCUGGGAAACUGGGUCUAAUACCGGAUAUGACCUCCUUCUGCAUGGUUGGUGGUGGAAAGUUUUUUCGGUAGGGGAUGAGCCCGCGGCCUAUCAGCAUGUUGGUGGGGUAAUGGCCUACCAAGGCGACGACGGGUAGCCGGCCUGAGAGGGCGACCGGCCACACUGGGACUGAGACACGGCCCAGACUCCUACGGGAGGCAGCAGUGGGGAAUAUUGCACAAUGGGCGAAGGCCUGAUGCAGCGACGCCGCGUGGGGGAUGACGGCCUUCGGGUUGUAAACCCCUUUCAGUCGGGACGAAGCGAGAGUGACGGUACCGAUAGAAGAAGCACCGGCCAACUACGUGCCAGCCGCCGCGGUAAAAC
rnacentral:rRNA from 1 species